AUGAACGCUGGCGGCGUGCCUAAUACAUGCCAGUCGAGCGAACAGAUGAGGAGCUUGCUCCUCUGACGUUAGCGGCGGACGGGUGAGUAACACGUGGAUAACCUACCUAUAAGACUGGGAUAACUUCGGGAAACCGGAGCUAAUACCGGAUAAUAUAUUGAACCGCAUGGUUCAAUAGUGAAAGACGGUUUUGCUGUCACUUAUAGAUGGAUCCGCGCCGCAUUAGCUAGUUGGUAAGGUAACGGCUACCAAGGCAACGAUGCGUAGCCGACCUGAGAGGGUGAUCGGCCACACUGGAACUGAGACACGGUCCAGACUCCUACGGGAGGCAGCAGUAGGGAAUCUUCCGCAAUGGGCGAAAGCCUGACGGAGCAACGCCGCGUGAGUGAUGAAGGUCUUCGGAUCGUAAAACUCUGUUAUUAGGGAAGAACAAAUGUGUAAGUAACUAUGCACGUCUUGACGGUACCUAAUCAGAAAGCCACGGCUAACUACGUG
rnacentral:rRNA from 1 species